UACGGGGGGAGCAAGCGUUGUUCGGAUUUACUGGGCGUAAAGGGCGCGUAGGCGGUCGUGACAAGUCACUUGUGAAAUCUCCGGGCUUAACUCGGAACGGUCAAGUGAUACUGUCGGACUAGAGUACAGAAGGGGCAACUGGAAUUCUCGGUGUAGCGGUGAAAUGCGUAGAUAUCGAGAGGAACACCUGCGGCGAAGGCGGGUUGCUGGGCUGAUACUGACGCUGAGGCGCGAAAGCCAGGGGAGCGAAUGGG
rnacentral:rRNA from 1 species